rnacentral:lncRNA from 1 species
UUGCUGAACAAUAUUGCUGUUUACAGUUUAUCUCUAUCUAUAAUAAUAUUCAAGAUAAUAACCAAAAACAGCAAAAUUUCAUUAAAAUUACUUAUUCUGGGGCAGCAACUCAAAACCGAGUUGUCCAAUUCAUCUGAAAAUUUCAGGGCAGGUAGAUCUUGACCUGAUAAACAAAUUUACCUCAUGUCAGAUUUACUCUAAAUGCUUUGGUUUUUGAGUUAUAAGCCAAAAACUGCAUUUUACCCAAGGUUCUAUUUUUAGCCAUGGCGGCCAUCUUGAUUGGAUGGCUGGGUCACUGGACACAUUUUUCAAACUACAUACCCCAAAGAUGGUUGUGGCCAAGUUUGGAUUGAUUUGGCCAAGUAGUUUCAGAGGAGAAGAUUUUUGUAAAAGAUUACUAAGAUUUACGAAAAAUGGUUAAAAAUUGACUAUAAAGGGCAAUAACUCCUAAAGGGGUCAACUGACCAUUUUCGGUCAUGUUGACUUAUUUGUAAAUAUUACUUUGCUGAACAUUAUUGCAAUUUACAGUUUAUCUCUAUCUAUAAUAAUAUUCAAGAUAAUAACCAAAAACAGCAAAAUUUCCUUAAAAUUACUAAUUCAGGGGCAGCAACCCAACAACAGGUUAUCCGAUUCAUCUGAAAAUUUCAGGGCAGAUAGAUCUUGACCUGUUACACAAGUUUACCCCAUGUCAGAUUUGCUCUAAAUGCUUUGGUUUUUGAGUUAUAAGCCAAAAACUGCAUUUUACCCCUAUGUUCUAUUUUCAGC